rnacentral:snRNA from 1 species
GGCUGUGAAGGCGAUCUGGCUGUGCUGUCAUCCCAUUGAUCUCCCUGGUUGAUUCAAGGGUGCCCCUUCCUCCCUCCCUGCUCCAUGUGCUUCCCUCCCGAAGCUGUACACUUAGUCGAAGAGGACGACCUUCCCCGCUAGAAGAGGACCGGUCUCAGUCCCCUGCUAAAACUUCCAAACAAGGCCUCAAAUAAAUAAACCUUGAAAAAAAUAGGACAUGGGAGAUUCUGUCCUUUUU